rnacentral:rRNA from 1 species
UUGACCUCGAAUCAGGUAGGGAUACCCGCUAAACUUAAGCAUAUCAAU